rnacentral:rRNA from 1 species
UACGGAAGGGGCAAGCGUUGUUCGGAAUCAUUGGGCGUAAAGGGCGCGUAGGUGGUUCUGUGUGUCUACCGUGAAAGCGUACGGCUCAACCGUAUUUUGUCGGUAGAAACUGCAGGACUUGAGGCUGGGAGGGGCUGGUGGAAUUCCCUGUGUAGCGGUGAAAUGCGUAGAGAUGGGGGAGAACACUCGUGGCGAAGGCGGCCAGCUAGACCAGUUCUGACACUGAGGCACGAAGGCCAGGGGAGCAAACGGG